CGUGCCCGGUUGGAGCAAAGCUAAAGUUUUUAUUUUGUACGCCGCUUAGGACAUAGAAAAACCAAUAAAGUUGGAACCAGUUUGUGUAAAUAAAAUCUAACAAAGCGCAUAAGCACUGUGUGACUAAUAUAUGGUUUAACAUUUGUUUAAGAAAAAAAAGUCUAAGAAUUGUGUGAGUGUGUGUAGAUUAUAAAGUCUACUAUUAAGCUAGAGAUUAGCAGAUAGUAAAAGUGUAUGUCUACUACACAUAGUUUAAAAUUUAAUGUGAAGAGUGUUUAAACAAAGUCGUCAAAUAUAAUAGUUUCGAAAGCACAUGAUAUUGCAUUAAAAGCAAAGUGCAGCAUAAUUAAAUAGCAAAGUUGGUUGACGAGUUCGUCCGGAUUGCGCCGCAGUCGCUGCCAACGUACUUCAGCGCUGUCAUGCCUUAUCGCUGUUCUUUUGUAUGUUUGUGCCGAGUUUAAACAAACUGCUUCCUAUUGAGUUUUUGAACAAAUUAAACCAAUCUGCAUUUAACCAAAUUUUGCAACUAAUCGCAGCGAAGGAUGCGCUUUCUCCAUGCCUUGCAUUUGCAGUUUUUCUUGUGGCUGUAGUAGCUCCUAUGCGUGUGUGUGUUAAUUUUGACGUUUCAAACCAAGGCAAACAACCACUGCUCAUGUUUAUUUGAACCUUUACCCAUACUCAACUUUUGGCGUUUGUUUGUAAUGCUUUAGUAUUUUAAAUUUUGCUGUUCAAGCAGGAUAAAAAUAAAAUAAUGUGCAAGAAAGCAUUAGUUACAAAAUGAAGUUGUGCAUAAGUGUGUAUAAUAUAUAAGAAAUAUCAUAAUCAGCCAGUGAAAACUUAAAUAUAUUUCUUUCAGUUGUGAACUUCAUCGCAGUGCAGAAUGUGAAUUUUAACAAAAGAAAAGUGAUUUGAAAAGGAGCUAAAAAUAAUAAAGUAAUCACAAACGUCAGUUCCAAAUAAAUUUAAUUACUUCUUUACAUUUAAACCAAUUGUGUUGAAGUCAGAAAUAGUGAAAUAAAUAAAAUAAAGUAGAUUCAAACUACGUACGGAAUACACAAGCAAGAAUCCGCUACAGUCAACGCGCGUACGCAUCAUAGCAACCAGCUGGUUUCAGCCGUACGCCAUACGGUGUUGUUGUCAUUGCAAUGCAUCGAUCAUUGAAGCCGCACGCACAAGCUAAAAAGGUACCACCACCUGCGCUACCCGGAGAUCCCGCACCGCAACAACAGCAAAUACCAUUAUACCGUUUAGGUGGCAGUAUUUCGAGUGCAGCUGGCAAACAGCUGGAUGAUGGCAUUAUAAUGAGUAGCAUGGUAUCGUCGCCAUCCUUGGAGGAGGGCGGUUUCAAUUUGCCACGUGAGCCAUCGGUAGCAUUGCGCAUGAAAGAUGAAAUAAGCGAAUACGCUACAGUCAUGUCCACAUCAGGCACAUCACAAUCGUCGGGCUCCUCUGCCGGCACUGCUGCAGCUGGCAAACAACAAGCAGCUAAUCAAGUAGCCACUGGUGGCGCAACACUUUUAUCCACCGCAACUAAUCCGCUGCUCAGCGGUUGUCCACCCACAAUAGUGCCAUGUCCACCGCCCGUGUUUUGCGCCACACUACGCGAACCGCUCACACACAAAGCGGCCGUUUACUAUCAUCAACAAUUGGCGCUGCAAGAGGAUCAGGGUAUCGAUUUGACACAAUCGCCAGGGCGCGAUUCGCCCGGUUCGUCGUCGGGCUCAGCUGGUUCUGGUUCGCGACACUCUACAGCUAGCUUGGAUUCGGGUCGUGCCUCAUCGUAUUUGACUGGUGUGUCGGGUGCAUCGAUACGUGGUAGUGCGGGCGGUGCACUAUCAUCGCCACGUUGCAGUUCGGUGAGUUCAUGUUCGAUUGGUAGUGUCGAUCGGCAACGUAACGAUGAACUCAUCAUCGAUUGGCUAAUGGAGAUGAAGUGUGAGGAGUAUGCACAAUUGUUUAUAUCGGCCGGUUACGAUUUGCCGACUAUUGCACGAAUGACCCCCGAAGAUUUGACAGCGAUCGGCAUAAAAAAUCCACACCAUCGCGAGCGCAUAAAACAACGUAUCGAUAAGUUGCAAGUAUUGGAUAACUUGCCACAUUUCGUGCCGGGCUCCAUCGAAGAAUGGCUACAACUAUUGCGUCUCGAGGAAUACAUUCAACCAUUACUUGAUCAAAACUAUAAAACUGUACGCGACGUCACGCAAGUCACUUGGGAAGACUUGGAGGAUAUUGGUAUUGUUAAAUUGGGACAUCAAAAGAAGAUUCUCUUAGCCAUUAAGCGUGUAAAGGAUAUCAUAAGCGGAAAGUGGAAUCCAGGCGGUAUUAAUGCUUACCAACAGCAGGAUUAUCGCAACAAGAUUUGGCCCAGUGCCGUGCCAAUGCCCACCACACCGACCUAUUUGCCAACCACGCGCGUCUCGUGGGACGAUUCCAAGAUUUAUGCUACGCCCGGCGUCGACGCCGUCUACUUUUGCAGCGGCGCUCAUCACGAGUGCUGCAAUGGCAACGAUGUGGUGCCCAUUAAGGUGCGCCAGCCACGCGGCAAAAGCUUAGAAUCACUCGAGGAUAUACACGACAACAGCACACGCAGCCAUUUGACCUUUAGCCAUUACACGGCCACUGAUUAUGGCCACUUUGCGCAUCCAACGCCUGCUAUGCAACAACAACAUCAUCAACAAGCCUUGCAACACCAGCAGCAACAGCAUCAGCAAGCUAUGCAACAGCAUCAUCAGGCAGCCAUGAUGGGCGGCGCUGUUGUGGGCGGACCCGGUGGUGCUGGCGGUGCACGUUUGCUUAGCAAUCAGGCAGCUAUGUCUUGGCGCCGUUCCUACGAUGAUGGUGACAUUACGCCCACCAACGACGCUGCACGCGAACUCAUGUACGAGGAAGGCGGCGGUACACUACCACGUCAGCAGCGGGGCAUUUUGCAGCGUGCCGUAUUGAACAGCAUGCCACCACUCGAGCAUCACUAUAUGAACGCAGCUGCCGCAGCGGAAUAUGUUUGCCAUGCAGGUGGAUUGGGCGGCGUUGGCGUGCCAGGUGCGGCUGCGCAUGUGGGCGCAACAGGCCCAGCUGGUUGUGUGCUGGACAGCGCCGGUCUGAAUGCAUCUUACUUGACCGGCAGUCCAAUGAGUAAUAAGAAAAUCGCACCGGAACCACCGCGACGUCAUUGUAGUAUACGAAAUUCACGUACGCUGAGUGCGGAUGGCGCACAACAACAGCAACAGUUGCAACAACAACAACAGAUGGGAUUGCAUGUCGGCGCAGCCGUUACGCCCGGUCUCUACUAUGGCGGCGCUGGCGCCUUACAUCAUGGUGGCAUGUAUAUGACGCAUGCGCAACAACAAGCCGCAGCAGCGGCGGCAGCUGCCAAUCAGCCGAUCUAUGCGAAUUACGCAACCAUACAACAGACCACGGCGGAAAUACACUGCGAGAAAUUCCAUGACAAUAAGUCAAAUUCCAGCAUCGAUUCCAUUGACACCAUACCGUUCGCCAAUGAGAACACUGGCACCAUCAAACAGCGUCUACUGAACCGCCAAGACAUUGGUGGACCACAGCAGCCGCUACAAUCGGGCAACACACCACAUCUGCACUCCUCCUCGUCGUCGUCCUCGUCUUCGUCGACCAACACCAUCGCCAAUAUAGCGCACUCUUUCCAUUCGCUGAAGACAUCUGCCUCGUUGCAUGACGCUUCGCUGAUACGCAGCGACAGCAUCGGCAGCACCACAAGCGGCGGCAGCGCUGGCGCCAGUACCGGCGGUGGUGGCAGCAAUAGCUUAUUGCUACUACGCUCUCCCACCCUACAAUAUCCACCGACCGAUGUAACGAAUGCCAGCAGCGGCGGCGCAUCAACGACUAUCACCACUACCGUGGACUUGCAUACACCCAGCGGCGCUGAGUCUAAUGCGGAUGCAGCUGGCGAUGGCGCGCCCUUAACCGGCAGCGAGGCUGCCGAUAUAUCAAGUGGCAACGCUGGCGCCGGCGCGACCACAAUUCAAACACCGGGUCAAAAGGUGUCUGUCAAUGUGCUCAAUGACAUUGGUAAUAUGUUGGCCAAUUUGACGGACGAACUCGAUGCCAUGCUGGAAGAGGAGAAGCGCAUUGGCCUGAAUAUUGAUAGUGAAUAAGCACAUAUUGGGGAGCAUGCUGCUCAAGGGCGUACAUAGGUACACGUAGUUAAUACAUAUAUGCGCAUGUGUGUGUUCUGCAAGUUGGGAAUUUAUACAUUAAUGGGUCUUACAUAAAAUGUUAGCGAAACAUGCGCGUGUGUACGCUUAAGCUUCAAGACAAAAGACAUUUCAUUCACAAAUUUCGCCUCUGUUCUUUUCGGCCUCUAGCGCUUUAUGGAAAGAAAUUAUGAAAGUUCAACUGUAUAUACAUUUUGAGUUUUAAAUCAAUCACUGGAAUAAUUCAGUAGUAUCGGAUAACGUUGGAUAAUUUUAUCAUGCGUUUUUAUAUAUAUUAAAUGUUUCAAUAAUUUUUUUUUAUUUAGUUGCGCGAAUAAGCAACGGAUAACGCCGUAUAACUAAUUUAAGAGCUGAAAAACAAUUUAAAUUUUUUUGUAUGCAUAUAGGUUCCGCCGGAUAAGUGGUUUUCGGCCUUGUAUAUUUAUUUUAAAAUUCAAAGCGCGCUUAAAUUUGUAAAAUAUAUCAAGUGGCUUAAUUUAUUUAUUAUGUAAUUGACUUUAUUUUGAAAUUUUAAAAAAGUCGUUGAAAUCUGUGUCGGAUAAGGUCGAAACAUUUUAGUAUACAUGCAAAAAAAAUCUAAUACAUAUAAUUUAUUUGCUCGGAUAAUGAAAUAAGCUACGGAUAACGCCGGAUAAUUGUUUUAAGCACUGAAAAACAAUUAAAAUUUACUUGUAUGCAUAUUAGUUCUACCGGAUAACCGUUUUUCAGCCUUGUAGGCAUAUUUUGAAGCUUAAAGCAUGCUUAAUAUUUGUAAAAUAUAUCAGGUGACUUAAUUUGUUUAUUAUAUAAUUGACGUUAUUUUGAAUUUUUGAAACAUUCGUUGAAAUCAGUGUCGGAUAACGUCGGAUAAUUUUGUUAUGCGUGCUAAAAAAAUUCUAAUAUGUGUAUACAUAUAAUAUAAAAUGCUUGAAGAUAUUUAUUUCAUUAAUUUAGUUGCGCGGAUAAUAAAAUAAACUGGAUAACGCCGGAUUACUAUUAUAACGACUUAGAAAUAACUAAACUUUAAUUUUGCGCAUAUAAAUAAGGCCGGAUAAGCGCUUUCAGCCUUGUGUGCAUAUUUUGAAGCUUCAAAAGUUUUUUAUGAUUCAAUAAGCAAUGAAUGCCUUUGCUUUGAAGCUUUACUGAUCGCACGCGCAUAUGUAGUUUAGUUGCGUCUAACACUUGAGUGUCUUAGUUGUUAGUUUUGUUUAAAUAUUAUAACUAAAGUGUUUAGUAUCUAUCAUUUCCUCAUAAAGGAACUUAUAUGUAUGAGUAAUUGUUGUAUAUACGCACAUGAUACGCGUAAAUAUAAUACUUUUUAUACGCAUUUUAUAUUUUACGUGCAUAAGUAUUUAUAGCAGUGUAUUAUGUAUUUGUAUAAAUUUCUCUUGUUUUGUAGUUAAAGAAAGAAAGUAAAAUUGUAACUUAGCAGUUGUAAAGCUCGUCUAACUUUUUUUUAUGGAAACUGCUGUUUUAGUGGCGCUUACUGGCAGCGAUGAGGAAGAAAAUAUUUAAACAUUGAAGAAAUACUAGAAUAAUAAUAGUUUUUUUUAUUAUUAUUAUUAUUUUGAAAUAUUUUUGUUUUAAUUUUUUUUUCAAGUUUUAAUUUAUAAAAAUUAUUUUUUUUUUAUAAAUAUUUGGUCUUAAAGCUUCACAUAGCUUUAACGUGUGUCAAUAAUGAUUGCAAACAGUUGUAAAAUAAUAUUAUUUUUUAAACAAAAAUAUUAAAUAUAAAUAAAAAUUGUUUGAAAAAAACCAACAUUU